rnacentral:rRNA from 1 species
ACGGGCUCGAUGAGUAGGGGUUCUGAGAGGAAGGUCCCCCACAUUGGAACUGAGACACGGUCCAAACUCCUACGGAAGGCAGCAG